UACGUAGGGUGCAAGCGUUGUCCGGAAUUAUUGGGCGUAAAGAGCUCGUAGGCGGUUUGUCGCGUCUGCUGUGAAAAUCCAGGGCUCAACCCUGGACCUGCAGUGGGUACGGGCAGACUAGAGUGCGGUAGGGGAGAUCGGAAUUCCUGGUGUAGCGGUGAAAUGCGCAGAUAUCAGGAGGAACACCGGUGGCGAAGGCGGGUCUCUGGGCCGUAACUGACGCUGAGGAGCGAAAGCGUGGGGAGCGAACAGG
rnacentral:rRNA from 1 species